AUUGAACGCUGGCGGCAUGCUUUACACAUGCAAGUCGAACGGUAACAGGGAGCUUGCUCCGCUGACGAGUGGCGAACGGGUGAGUAAUGCGUCGGAACGCGCCGAGUAGUGGGGGAUAACGCAUCGAAAGGUGUGCUAAUACCGCAUACGUACUGAGGUAGAAAGUGGGGGACCUUCGGGCCUCACGCUAUUCGAGCGGCCGACGUCUGAUUAGCUAGUUGGUGAGGUAAAGGCUCACCAAGGCGACGAUCAGUAGCGGGUCUGAGAGGAUGAUCCGCCACACUGGGACUGAGACACGGCCCAGACUCCUACGGGAGGCAGCAGUGGGGAAUUUUGGACAAUGGGCGCAAGCCUGAUCCAGCCAUGCCGCGUGUCUGAAGAAGGCCUUCGGGUUGUAAAGGACUUUUGUCCGGGAGCAAAUGCUGGUGGCUAACAUCCACCGGAGCUGAGAGUACCGGAAGAAUAAGCACCGGCUAACUACGUGCCAGCCGCCGCAGUAAUAC
rnacentral:rRNA from 1 species